rnacentral:rRNA from 1 species
CUCUCAGUAAGGGCGACUGAACAGAGAAAAGCUCACCUUGUGAAUCUGUGCAACCGCUGGGACCUCGUUCAGUGCACCGAAUUGUGGUCUGAAGAAAGUGUCAUCGAAUCCGUUCCCGAACCAAGUACCUUGGAAAAGGACAGCCGAGAGGGUGAGACUCCCGUUCUUGUCUGGGGAUUGUGAUUCAACGGCAGAUACUUUUAACGAGUCGUGUUGAUUGGGAUUUCAGCACAAAGCAUGUGGUAAAUGCCACAAAAAGCUAAAUAUUGGUGGGAGACCGAUAGCGCACAAGUACCGUGAGGGAAAGAUGCAAAGAACUUUGAAAAGAGAGUUAAAGAGUACCCGAAAUUGUUGAAAGGGAAGAGAAGGAAACCAGUGCCCGUUGUGUCAUACUUCUCCACGCCUCGUGGUCGACUGAUAUGUGAUGGCACAUAGAUCAACAUCAACCUUGUGCCAGAAUAAACGAUCAUUUGGUAGACAGCUCCUCUCGGGGUGCCAGUGCCGGCCUGGUCUGUUCUAGUCGAAGUUGAGGCCAAUCAUCAUGUG